rnacentral:rRNA from 1 species
CCUACGGGUGGCAGCAGUGGGGAAUAUUGCACAAUGGGGGGAACCCUGAUGCAGCGACGCCGCGUGGGUGAAGGAGCACCUCGGUGCGUAAAGCCCUAUCGGCAGGGAAGAAAGGCGGGCGGGGCCCGUCUGGACGGUACCUGACUAAGAAGCCCCGGCUAACUACGUGCCAGCAGCCGCGGUAAUACGUAGGGGGCAAGCGUUAUCCGGAUUCACUGGGUGUAAAGGGAGCGUAGACGGCGGAGCCAGUCUGGAGUGAAAGCCCAGGGCCCAACCCCGGGACUGCUCUGGAAACUGUGCGGCUUGAGUACGGUAGGGGCAGGCGGAAUUCCUGGUGUAGCGGUGAAAUGCGUAGAUAUCAGGAGGAACACCGGCGGCGAAGGCGGCCUGCUGGACCGUGACUGACGUUGAGGCUCGAGAGCGUGGGGAGCAAACAGGAUUAGAUACCCCUGUAGUC